rnacentral:rRNA from 1 species
UACGGAGGGGGCUAGCGUUGUUCGGAAUUACUGGGCGUAAAGCGCACGUAGGCGGCUUUGCAAGUUAGAGGUGAAAGCCCAGGGCUUAACCCUGGAAUUGCCGUUAAAACUGCAUCGCUAGAAUUGUGGAGAGGUAAGUGGAAUUCCGAGUGUAGAGGUGAAAUUCGUAGAUAUUCGGAAGAACACCAGUGGCGAAGGCGACUUACUGGACACAUAUUGACGCUGAGGUGCGAAAGCGUGGGGAGCAAACAGG